GUCAACUGGUCAGAUUCUCCCAGGGUGCAGGCUCUGAGUCCUCCCGCUCCAAGCUCUGCUGCCCUCAUGCCCUGCACCAGACCCAGGCCUCACCAAGACCUCACCUUGGCCUUCCUGGAGCUCGUGCCUUGGUCUCUCCUGCCCUUCCCUGUUUCCCAGCCCUGCAGACGCUGGAACAUCUGCCCUGCAAAGGCCCAUUGUUCUGUUCCGGUUUCCCGAUCCCUGUGUACAAGCACUCGAUGCAGCGACAGUGUUUGGAUGUUGCUCUGUGAACUCAGUGAACUUGAGACAAAGAGCAGGUGGCCAGGGGAGAGAAGCUGCAGUUCAUUGAGUCAAUGAAGAAGAAAACUGGCUGGGCCUCAGGGUCGCCAUCAAAGCCUGAGCCAGUGUCGGCCAGAGACAGUGAUAAGGCCUGGUGGUGGCUGACUCUCCCCUUCCCCAAGCCAGGCAACAGCCUGAGGGACCUGACGCAGAGUAAAAGCUUUGUCCACCCUCUCUUUCUUUUGUUCCUUGUCACCAUGUAUAAGUCCUCUGCUCCCCUUUAGAGGUCAGACCCUAUUGGUGUAGAUGCCCACUCAUAUGGGUGUUUAUUAUGUCUCUCCACUGUGAACCACAGGCUCCAGGAGGACAGGAUCCUGUCCUUCUUAGCUUCCUGUGAUGACAAAACAUCUGAGAGAGACUGACUUAGUGUAGGAAAAGUCUAUUUUGGUUCAUAGUUUCAGGGAUUUCGGUUCAUGGUCACUGGGCUCUGUGGUUUCUGGGCCGGUGGUGAAGCAGGAACAUUAUAGCAGAAGAACUCAGCAGAGGCAAGCUGCUCACCUCCUGGUGGCCGGAAGCAAGCAAAGCUUGAGAGGAAGGGCGGAGACAAGAUUAAACCCUCAAGGACACACUCUUCAACUGUGUCCCGCCUUGUUUCCAUCAUCUCCCAAUAGCUUAUCAAACUCUGAACCCAAUGGUUUAGUUCAUUGAUGAGGUCCAAGCCCUCAGGAUCUAAUCACUGCCCCCCAACCCCACCUCUGAAAGCUGCUGCGUUGAGGACCAAGACUUCCACCCGUGAGCCCUCAGGGUACAUUCCAGACCUAAAAUACAGAAGUCCCUUUUGUUCACUGCUAUACCCCCAAGCCCUAGGACAGGGCUGGCACAGAGUGGGUGCUUGGAAAAUAUUAAUAAAUACUUAAUAUCUAAUCAGUAAAUUGGAUGAAGAUUGAUUCUUUUUUCUUUUUUUGGCACUGGGGAUUGAACUCGGGACCUUGGGCUUUUGAAACAGGUGCUGGAACCACUGAGCUAAAUCUCUGGCUCUGAAGGUUGUUUCUUGACAGAGGCACAUACCGACUGAUGUGAAAUUCAUGUAGAAUGAGACAGGAAGGCCACAAACUCUUUGCCUUCAAAGAAAAUAAUGGAGAAUGGAGAGAAAAAGAAUUUACUAACUCCUCAC
rnacentral:lncRNA from 1 species